AAGCUAUCAAUCAAGCAGUUAAGCAAAUUAAAUCACAACUCAGAAAUCACAACUGAAGGUAAUCAAUUCAUAUUACAAAUUUAUUCAUGGCUUUGAAUUAACCUCUAGCCAAAAUAAAUUUAGUUACACAUUAUUAAAACAGAAAUAAAAUAUAAGUUUGGAAAGAUUUAACCGAGAGAGAAGGCAGCUUGCUCCUUCUGUUUUUCUCCCCGCAAGCGCUGCUUCGCUGCUUUCACUUCUCUGCUCUCUGCCCUCACUCUGCGCUUCUCUCUCCGCACACUUCCCUGCUUUCCCUUCUCCCCUUUCUCUCUUUCCCGUCUGUUCUAUCUAUCCAUCUCUCUGCCUUCUCUCCUCCCUUUUUCGCUGGAGCCCUCAUCUACUUGCUGUUUUUAUUUAUUUCUUUAUUUGACUUUUCUUCUAUUGCCAACCUGUGCUUUGCUGUAUUUGUUGCCUUUCAGACAAAACCAAAGGGCAGCCUUAAUCAUUCAU
rnacentral:lncRNA from 1 species